rnacentral:rRNA from 1 species
CAAUAGCGUAUAUUAAAGUUGUUGCAGUUAAAAAGCUCGUAGUUGGACCUUGGACCUGGACAGGCGGUCCGCCCCACGGCGUGUACUGUCUUGCUGGGUCUUUCCUCUUGGUGAUCUGUUGUUUCGGCAGCAGGGAACCAGGACUUUUACUUUGAAAAAAUUAGAGUGUUCAAAGCAGGCUCGACGCCGGAAUAUAUUAGCAUGGAAUAAUAAAAUAGGACGUGCGGUUCUAUUUUGUUGGUUUUUGGAAUCGCCGUAAUGAUUAAUAGGGACAGUCGGGGGCAUUAGUACUCACAUGCUAGAGGUGAAAUUCUUGGAUUUUGUGAAGACUAACUUCUGCGAAAGCAUUUGCCAAGGAUGUUUUCAUUAA